UGGGGAAUAUUGCACAAUGGGCGCAAGCCUGAUGCAGCCAUGCCGCGUGUAUGAAGAAGGCCUUCGGGUUGUAAAGUACUUUCAGCGGGGAGGAAGGGAGUAAAGUUAAUACCUUUGCUCAUUGACGUUACCCGCAGAAGAAGCACCGGCUAACUCCGUGCCAGCAGCCGCGGUAAUACGGAGGGUGCAAGCGUUAAUCGGAAUUACUGGGCGUAAAGCGCACGCAGGAGGUUUGUUAAGUCAGAUGUGAAAGCCCCGGGCUCAACCUGGGAACUGCAUCUGAUACUGGCAAGCUUGAGUCUCGUAGAGGGGGGUAGAAUUCCAGGUGUAGCGGUGAAAUGCGUAGAGAUCUGGAGGAAUACCGGUGGCGAAGGCGGCCCCCUGGACGAAGACUGACGCUCAGGUGCGAAAGCGUGGGGAGCAAACA
rnacentral:rRNA from 1 species